rnacentral:tRNA from 1 species
GCCAGCGUAGCUCAGUAGGUAGAGCAACUGAUUUGUAAUCAGUGGGUCGGGGGUUCGAUUCCUCUCGCUGGCUCCA